AGUGAACGCUGGCGGUAGGCCUAACACAUGCAAGUCGAACGGCAGCACAGUAAGAGCUUGCUCUUACGGGUGGCGAGUGGCGGACGGGUGAGGAAUACAUCGGAAUCUACUUUUUCGUGGGGGAUAACGUAGGGAAACUUACGCUAAUACCGCAUACGACCUACGGGUGAAAGCAGGGGAUCUUCGGACCUUGCGCGAUUGAAUGAGCCGAUGUCGGAUUAGCUAGUUGGCGGGGUAAAGGCCCACCAAGGCGACGAUCCGUAGCUGGUCUGAGAGGAUGAUCAGCCACACUGAAACUGAGACACGGUCCAGACUCCUACGGGAGGCAGCAGGGGGGAAUUUUGGACAAUGGGCGCAAGCCUGAUCCAGCCAUACCGCGUGGGUGAAGAAGGCCUUCGGGUUGUAAAGCCCUUUUGUUGGGAAAGAAAAGCAGCAGGUUAAUACCCCGCUGUUCUGACGGUACCCAAAGAAUAAGCACCGGCUAACUUCGU
rnacentral:rRNA from 1 species